GCCUAUGUAGCUCAGUGGUAGAGCACUUCCUUGGUAAGGAAGAGGUCCCGGGUUCAAAUCCCGGCAUCGGCU
rnacentral:tRNA from 2 species